rnacentral:tRNA from 1 species
GUGGUAUAAUGGUUUGCAUAAUUGCCUUUCAUGCAGUUGACCCGGGUUCGAUUCCCGGUCGUCGCA